GUUGAUGUAAAUAAUGGCUGGCCCUGAGAAGAAACUUGAAAGAUCCAAAAGUGGACUUAGAAUGAUUCCUGUGUCUGAGGCUGACACAAGUCCAUUUUGUCUUCCCGAACCUCCAUGGGUGCCCGACGGUGAGUGCAAACAAUGUCAGAAUUGUAGAGGCAAAUUUGAUUUUUUCAAAAGAAGAAAGCAUCACUGCAGGCGUUGCGGGAGGUGUUUUUGUAAUGACUGCUGUCAGGAGAAGGUGAAUUUACCAAGGAUGCAGUUCUUGGAUCCUGUUCGCCACUGUCAAGUUUGUACAGAAGUUUCCCGAAAAGAAGAGGAAUUUUUCGACAAGCAUUUAAAGUCUCUUCAAAAUGGUGGUUAUUUUUCGGUAUGUGAUUCAGACAUAGGACCAGAUGAUGCCUCUAUGUUCUUUACAAAACUUUCUCCAAAUCACAGUAAUUAUUAAUUUUCAAAAUAGACACCUGCUGUUUGAGGGGGACAGUGAUAAACAUGAGCCAAUACUUAUUGAGAAAAUUGAGACUCUGCAGAUUCUGCCAUCAGGGAAGGAUGAUGAAGGUAAUACAAUAGCUGGAGGUAUUGCAAUAAAAUACAAGGACACAACGGGAGGGAUCAACGUCAUCAAGAUGAUGGUGGACAGUGGGGGAAACAGAAAACCAGGGCAAAUCUGGAUCGCCUCCAUGCAAAAGGCAUUUAAGAUGCUGUAUGAUGCAAGAGCAAAGUGAAGAUUGACUGUUUCCAGACAGAGAGGAGAACUCUAUAUAAAGUGCUGAGUGAUGCACAACAUGUUCCCUGUUGGUUUGCUUCUGAUAUUGUUUACUUUGUUGAGAGGCAUUGUUGUUUAUAAUAAGUUUAAUGUUAUGAUUUAUAAAUCUGCUCUCCUUACAAUUCUUUGCCUCUAGGCCAGGGGUGGAGGGAUUUUUUCUUGAUUAACUUUGAGAUCUGUUAUUUAAGGAUGGGAUGUAUUCAAAUACCAAUAUUUAUUGUAUAUCUUUCAUAACAUUUAUCUGGUAAUAUGUAUGGACUGUAAUGUUAAUUUCAUUGGUAGUCUGUUUACAUCUUUGUCCAUCUGAGAAAUUAAUUGAUUUAGAGGUAUAUACUCCAGCAUAUUGCAUUCACCUGUCAACAAUCCGCUAAGAGUACUCUGAUCAUGAUGGCUGUAUGUUGUACCUCACAGAUAAAACAAAUGGCAUUAUUCCUGUUGAAUUCUUGUCCUUCUUCAAUGAAAAGAACUUUCAGCUUUACAAAUGGGCGGCCUUAUCUUUUGAAAUUAAUACAUGUAUCUCUUUUAAAAAAUUAAGACUGAUUAACCUUUUGAAGUGUAUACAUGUAGUAGUAAACUGUGUUUUAUAUUAGGACAGGGAGGGGAAAGGUUGAAAAAAAAAAACCUAGUGUAGCAUAAUUUCUGGAAGAGAUCACUCAUCUGAUUAUAUAAAUACCCGAGGUUUAUUUUUUAUAUGAAAAUUGUAUGGUAUGCUGUAUAUUCGACAAGAAGAUCUAUAACUACCUUCUACUUAACAAGUUGUGAUUUUGUUUUUGUUUUUUGUCAAAAUGUCACUGUUUUGUUGUGUAAAAAGCCAUUGAAAUAUGUGAUAUAUUUUAAAUCGCACAAUUUUAAUAAGUAAUUUAUAAUCUGAUGCUGUAAAUAUAUUGCCCAUGUUGUAUAUAGACCUUGUACAUUUCUUUAACAAAACUGCAGUUUAUAUUCAUAUUUUACAAUACAUAUGUACUGUUAACUUUGUAUGAAAAUAAGUGGUUAUUUUUAGAUAAUGCCUGGACUAGGUUCAUAAAAAAAUAUAUUAUGUAAGUAUCAAGGAAGAAAUCGAUUGAAGAAACAGAUCUAUUUCUGUAUUUGGUUUGCAAGAUUACGUAACAUUAUGUAACUUUUUUUAUAUUAACAUAAAUCUUGUAUGUUACCGUUAUGAAAGCAAUAAAGACAUAAAUAU
rnacentral:misc_RNA from 1 species